AACGAACGCUGGCGGCAGGCCUAACACAUGCAAGUCGAGCGCCCCGCAAGGGGAGCGGCGGACGGGUGAGUAACGCGUGGGAACGUACCCUUUGCUACGGAAUAGCCUCGGGAAACUGGGAGUAAUACCGUAUGUGUCCUUCGGGAGAAAGAUUUAUCGGCAAGGGAUCGGCCCGCGUUGGAUUAGGUAGUUGGUGGGGUAAUGGCCUACCAAGCCGACGAUCCAUAGCUGGUUUGAGAGGAUGAUCAGCCACACUGGGACUGAGACAAGGCCCAGACUCCUACGGGAGGCAGCAGUGGGGAAUCUUAGACAAUGGGCGCAAGCCUGAUCUAGCCAUGCCGCGUGAGCGAUGAAGGCCUUAGGGUUGUAAAGCUCUUUCAGGGGGGAAGAUAAUGACUGUACCCCCAGAAGAAGCCCCGGCUAACUCCGUGCCAGCAGCCGCGGUAAUACGGAGGGGGCUAGCGUUGUUCGGAAUUACUGGGCGUAAAGCGCACGUAGGCGGACGGAGAAGUCAGAGGUGAAAUCCCAGGGCUCAACCUUGGAACUGCCUUUGAAACUUUCUGUCUUGAGGUCGAGAGAGGUGAGUGGAAUUCCGAGUGUAGAGGUGAAAUUCGUAGAUAUUCGGAGGAACACCAGUGGCGAAGGCGGCUCACUGGCUCGAUACUGACGCUGAGGUGCGAAAGCGUGGGGAGCAAACAGG
rnacentral:rRNA from 1 species